rnacentral:rRNA from 1 species
AUGAAUGAAGAAGUUGCUAGGAAAAUUUUUGCUUGCAAUGAUAGAUCUGAUCUUAAGAAAUUAUUAGCUAAAUGGAAGCAGCAGUUUCUUAAUGCUAGAAUGAAACCCGAUCCUUCUUUUGCUACUUCACCUAUCUGUGUUACUGAUAAGGAUUAUGAAUUCUCUGUUGAUCCUGAGAUUAUUACUUUAGUUGAAUCUGAUCCUUUUUAUGGCCUUGAAUCUGAAACUAUUGUGGCACAUCUUAUCAAGUUGAAUGAUAUAGCCACCCUGUUUACUCAUGAUGAAAGAUCUCGCUAUUUUUAUAUCCUUAAGAUAUUUCCGUUCUCAUUAAAGGGUGAUGCUAAGACUUGGUAUAAUUCUCUUGCUCCUGGUUGUGUGCGUAGUCCCCAGGAUAUGAUUUAUUACUUCUCUACUAAAUAUUUCCUUGCUCAUAAGAAACAAGCUGCCUUGCGGGAAAUAUAUAAUUUUGUGCAAAUCAAAGAAGAGAGUCUCCCACAAGCUUGGGAGAGGCUUCUCCGGUUACUUAAUGCUUUGCCUGAUCAUCCUCUUAAGAAAAAUGAAAUACUUGAUAUCUUUUAUAAUGGACUAACCGAUGCUUCCAAGGACUACUUGGAUAGUUGUGCUGGUUGUGUUUUCAAGGAAAGAACAGUCGACGAAGCUGAAAUAUUACUGAAUAAUAUGUUGACUAAUGAAAAUAAUUGGACUCUUCCCGAGCCAGUUCCUGAAGUAAUUCCUGAACCAAUUGAGCCAACUCCUGAGUCUAUUCCUAAACCCACUCCGAAGAAGAGAGGUGUUUUAUUUCUCAGUCCUGAAGAUAUGCAAGAGGCAAAGAAAUCAAUGAAAGAAAAAGGUAUUAAAGCUGAAGAUGUUAAGAAUUUACCACCUAUUGAAGAAAUAUAUGGUCUUAAUUUACCGCCUGAAGAAACACAUUGUCUUGAUAACCCGACACAGGUAGUAAAGGUAAAUUCUCUCUAUGGAUAUAAUAAAGUUGAAAUACCCUCUACUAAAUUUCAUAGCCCAUGCUUAGAUGAAUUUGAUGACUUUAUGGCUAGACAAGAAAGUUUUAAUGCUUAUGUUGGUAGAGAGUUAAAGAAUAAUGCUUUCGAGAUAGGACGUGUAAGUGAUAAUCUGACUAGAGUUAAAGAUGAACUUCAGCGUGUUAGCAAAUAUGCUUCUAUGAUUGCAGAUCUGAACCUAUUAUGUUUUCAUGAAUAUAUGUGUGUUCUUGAUCCUAUUUUGCAAGUCUAUAGAAACCUAUUAUGUGUUAUGAUCCGACAACCCCGAAGUGACAAUAAUCGGGAUACUUCUCGAUGA